rnacentral:lncRNA from 1 species
AAGUUAGCCAAAGCAGCCCAGGGCCGCCGCCCAGCGCCCCCGAGCCCCGAGGAGAGCCGUCGCGACCGGGGGCUGCCUGGGCAAGGGCGGGGCGAGAGGGCAGAACGCCUGCUCUCGGACAGAUCUGGGGACCCUUCACCUGCCUCUACUACUGCAAAUGAUUGGAUAUUCGUCUGACUUGGCUCUUCCCUAAUGUGUGGAACUAAUUUUGUUCACUCUGUUUCAUGCUGGACCUGGCCUGAAAAUGGGCCCUUAUAUUGUCUUUGCACUUUCCAACUUGCCAAGUUUCUGAAAGAAGGACCAAAGUAAUGCCAAGAACUCCCAGAUGAAGAGGACCUUCCUUAGACCUAUAACAGAUUCACUACUUGACUUCAGAGGGAAGUUUCAGCUAAUUCUCAGGAAAAGGUCAAAACAGGCCUGUGACUGUCCCUUGAAUACUGAAGGUAUAAACAAGCUUCUGGCUCCUCCAGGUCAAGCAGAGGAACACUUUUAUUAGAAUGAAGGGUUACUUCUUUGUUAUUCAAACACACACCCACACACAUCCUCUGUAGUCUCCCUAAUGAAAAACCUCAACAGAUGGAGAGCCUGAGCUCCCAAGUCCGCAGGCUGAGAAGAUGCACUUCACUCAAGGGCCAGUGGGCUGGUACAGACUAGGGAAGAGAAAAGGGACAAAGGCUGCUAGUAUAGGUAAUCACUAUCUUUUAAUACUCCUAACACAUAGAAAUUCGAAAAAUCUUGUUCAGCAAUGUUAGCAGCCUGUGAGCCUCGGAAACUAAUUUGGCUGAUGUGUCUCUGAUAGGGAGCUUGGGGCUGCACCAAGGGGAAACAUUCUCCUCCUGUAUUCUCUCCUCUCUCUCGUUUGAAAGCCUGUACAAAGAAAUGGUACAAAUGGAUGGUUAACUUAAUGAUUCCAUCAGAGGCAGAUUUUUCUCUGUCAGGUCCCUGGAUAAGGUGGAGGUCUGAAAGCCAGGAGACAGAAUAUGU